rnacentral:rRNA from 1 species
GACGAACGCUGGCGGCGUGCUUAACACAUGCAAGUCGAACGGAAAGGCCCUGCUUUUGUGGGGUACUCGAGUGGCGAACGGGUGAGUAACACGUGAGUAACCUGCCCUUGACUUUGGGAUAACUUCAGGAAACUGGGGCUGAUACCGGAUAGGAGCUCCUGCUGCAUGGUGGGGGUUGGAAAGUUUCGGCGGUUGGGGAUGGACUCGCGGCUUAUCAGCUUGUUGGUGGGGUAGUGGCUUACCAAGGCUUUGACGGGUAGCCGGCCUGAGAGGGUGACCGGCCACAUUGGGACUGAGAUACGGCCCAGACUCCUACGGGAGGCAGCAGUGGGGAAUAUUGCACAAUGGGCGGAAGCCUGAUGCAGCAACGCCGCGUGCGGGAUGACGGCCUUCGGGUUGUAAACCGCUUUCGCCUGUGACGAAGCGUGAGUGACGGUAAUGGGUAAAGAAGCACCGGCUAACUACGUG